rnacentral:misc_RNA from 1 species
GUAGUAUGCAAUAAAUAAAAUAAUUUUUAAAAUUCGACAAAUAAAAGAGAAGAGAUGAAGUAUUAUUAUUAUUAUUUUUAAUUAGAUUAAAGGUGUUUAAAGUUUUAAAUCUUUAUUUUUUUUUAUAUUAUGAAUGUAGCUUGUAUGAAAUUAUAGUACAAGGUUAGAAUUACAUGAUUAAGCAAUUUAAAGAAAAAUUAAAUAUUUUGAGAAUGAAAAUUGUGGUUUGUUGAAAGUUGAAAGUGAUGGUUCAACUGUACUCCCAAAGGCUUAAUUUGGUGAUGAUUCUUUCAUUAAGCAUAAAUAUUUUACAAUGAUUUUCAAGGAAAUUAAUAUAUAUUAUGGAAAAAUCCUUACAUAUA